UGGUUUCGCAUCACUUUCGCUUCUGUUCCGAUGUUUGUGCGGCGGAGUCCUAGCAGCGGCGUGUUUUGAGUUCUCCUCCAGUAGUCGGUCGUUCGUUUGAUUAACGUUGUCGGUGGAAAUUCGCGCCGGCUCUUGCGUACCCGCUUAAGCUGGUUGGAUUGGAACACACGAUUUGGGAUUGGGGAAGCAUUUCAACUGCUUUAUUUUGCAGCGGGCGCCUGGUGGUUUAUCAAAUUUGGGUAUGCUUUUGAAGCUGUGGUUUUAGUGGUUUCGCCCUUGAUGAAGGAAAAUUGAAAGUUCAACAGUUGUUCACCGUUUGCCGAUUAUUGCCGGUGGUUUGUUGUCGUUUCGUCCGGGUGUUUGUGUAUUAAAGAAAAUGUCUGGUGGGAAAAUCGAGAUCGGUAAUAACAACUACCUGCUGAUGAUGAUGCCGUUGUUUGUCAGCGGAUUGGCCGCACAAGUUCAGUGAAAUUUUGUUGAAGCUAACGACUUUCCGGCGAUGAGCACAGCAAGUGCUUAGAGUGAGAUGAUUUAAGUGACGGUGGAGCAACACGUGCGUCGCCGUUUAAAAGGGUUUAAGAAGAUUUAUAUUUUAUUAAUGCGGCUGCAGCUGCCGAUGGGAUUAAUCGAGCGUGGCUGGGCUGGAUCAGAUGGGAAGAAAGCAAACCAUCCACAGCUUGCACAGAUGUGAUUACUUAGUCAAAAGUGCUCUCGAGUAGAAUAGUUAGUAGUGGGAUGGAUCAUCCCUUCGAUGUAUAGAAGAUAACCGUCGCAACCGAAAAAUCGCAUGCUGUAUGUUAAUGAUGGUACACAAACGAUACCUAUCGGUGUGAAUAGCAGUAUAUCAAACGUUUCGCUCAAAUCAAUCCCUCAACCUGGGGCGUGAGCGUCCAAUCAACACGAUAAUAAGACCCAUUUGAAUGCCAUCAUCGCACUUCGCCGCAUGAAAUCCAGCAGCCGAUCGCAGUCGACAUCCGUAGCAUAAAUUUCAUAAGAACUCCAUGCCUACCGUGAUUAUCAUCGCGUUUUUUUCCCCGUUGCUCCAACUCUGACGCGUUUGUGUGAAUGAGCUACGCGUGUAUCUACCUGUACCUAUAACUGUAGCCAUACAUAAAGCACAUGUUCAUUGGAAAUUGCAAUUGUCACCUGUCGAAAGCCGAUAUUUUUUUUCGCGUUGCCAUCGUUGUGAAGUUGUAUGCACACUUUUUUUUUGCCAGCAGCAUUAUUGUGGAGUUUUGUAUGUUGCUGCUCUACGUUGUCGUCGUCCCGUGAUUGUCGAUUGUUGGCCAGAAAUUCGAGGAAUGAACGCAAUUCAACGCCUACAAUAAAUGCUGAGCUCGUUCGUUCCGUUCAACUUUGUCGUCUCUUCGCCGUCGCCGGUCGGAUGUUUGUUUUCCUCGUCCCUAGCUCUAGAAAAAGAAGCGGAUGAAGAUACUACUGUAGUCUGUAUGAAGGCGAAGAAAAACUGCGUACAAUCCUAACCGGAUAGAUGGGAGUGAUCGAGCGCUGAAUUUCUAAUUAGGCUCUCCCGGCUGGUAAAGACCUUAGUGGAGUCUCAGCUCAGCGUGCCAUUAUAGGCAUUGGUAGGCAGCAGCAAAACGGACAGCAAACGAUCAGUUCCCGGUGCAGUUUGAUCCAUAAGGGUCUAAAAAGAAUUUUUCAAUCAUCGUCCUUCCCGCAACGAGAUCAGCGUCUUCAUAAGGCGACGACGACGUGACGACUAGCUGAUUGAAUUACUUUGGUCCAUUUCACGGUUCAUCGAGCAUUGUCCGGGGUAAUUUCGUAAAAUUCCCGUAUUGCACUCGUCGUAAUUGGAAGAGAUGGACCUAUAAAAAAAUGCACUUUUACCGGCUGAAAUGUAUCUACGGUUAUAAAUAGCAGAUGAGACACGCGUUCAAAAAUACGAGGCCAGUUUAAACGGCAAACAUAAAAACGUUAAGUUUGUAUGGAGAAAAAUCGCGAGGCGCGAAGUGAAAUUCAUGUGACAGGAUUCAAAAUUUAUGGAUCAUCCGAAGUGAGUUUGUCCAAGCAAACGAAAGAAAAAACAAACAUACAAAUUUACGGUGACAAAUUCACCGGAUCAUCGCGAUACAAAAAGGAAAAAUAUUGAAAUGGUGGAAAAUAAUAAUCGAGUGAGCCCCCUCACGUUCGACUUAAUUCAAAAAAACAUUUAUCAUUAUUCGUGAGACAAACGAGGGGAAAAAUCCAGUGUGGAAAAUAAAUUUGAACAAAAAAAAACUUCAAGUUUAACUGCGUGGAAAAACCACAGCAAUAUUCUGCGGUUGUCAUCCGAUGAAUGAAAGCAGAAGGGAGCGGAGAUCAUCAUUAAAACUUGGCGAAUGCUUUCCAAUCUCCGAUGAAACCAUGGCGAUCAAACGAUGGUGGCAAACGGCGAUACGACGACGUCUCUAAGUUAAAACCACAUCAUAGAAUGGGAAAGUUUUUUCUCUGAAACUAAAACAAAUCCAGGUUACUUACUUGUUCCUAGCAUCAUGAAUCUUUAAAAGAGCAAUACACUCAAUUGAUCGAACCUGGAACAACUAACAAAGGCUAUCACCUGAAAGGGAGACGCACAAACCCAUAAAUCCUUCAAGCUUCUAUCCGGAAACCUAUCGGUACAAAAAGCAAGGGGAAUAUAUCCUGCAAAAAUUUUGCAGCAUCCUCCUAUACUUUUGCCAUUACUUGUAAGACAACACAAAUAGUCUGUAAAAAUGACAUCGUCUCCAACUACAACCGAUUCCACCCUGGGUAUGCUCGCCGAAAGAAAGCGGGAAUGUCUGGGUCAGCUCAACGAAACAAUUAUCGAGGAAACAAGGGAUAGUACAGCUCCAUUCUGCCGGAGGACCUGGGACGAUUGGCUUUGCUGGCCAGACACCGCAGCUGGAGUAUCUGCCUAUUUACCGUGUCCGGAUUUCGUUUUCGGAUUCGAUACAACCAAAUACGCACACAAGGAUUGCGACGAAAAUGGCAACUGGUUCCGGCAUCCGGAAACGAACAAAACUUGGUCUAACUACACGAGCUGCAUCGAUUUCAACGAUUUUGAGUGGCGAACGACGGUGCGGACAAUCGCAGAAACGGGCUAUUCGAUAUCCCUGAUCGCGUUGAUACUUUCGCUGGGAUUACUAAGCUAUUUCAGGUCGCUCAAAUGUGCCAGGAUAACGCUCCACAUGAACCUGUUCGCAUCGUUCGCAAUCAACAACACCCUGUGGCUGCUCUGGUAUCGACUGGUGCUGGCAGAUCCGGAAGUAGUGAAAGGAAACGGGGCUCCCUGCAUAGCCCUGCAUAUAGUGCUGCACUACUUCCUGCUCACCAAUUACGCCUGGAUGCUGUGCGAAGGAUUUUACCUACAUACGGUCCUGGUGUGGGCGUUUGUGUCCGAGAAAAAGCUGGUUAGAUGGCUGGUCGUCCUAGGAUGGGCCACACCCGGAAUCGUGAUCAUCCUGUAUGCGGUGCUUAGAGCCCAUGCCGGCGAUCCGGAUGAUACUCUAUGCUGGAUGUACGAAAGCGCCAACGUACAGUCGGUCCUCAUUGGUCCGGUUUGUAUUUCGAUGUUGCUAAAUUUGGUGUUUUUGUGCAACAUUGUCCGGGUGGUGUUGCUGAAGUUGAAAGCCCCGGCUGGACCCCAGGGAACAGGACCUUCCCGGACGGUUCUGCAAGCUUUUAGAGCCACUCUCCUGUUGGUUCCGCUGCUCGGGCUUCAGUACAUGCUGACCCCCUUUCAACCGGAUCCCGGUCAUCCUUACGAGCGGACGUACGAAAUCAUUUCCGCUUUCACAUCAUCGUUUCAGGGUCUAUUUGUGGCCGUGUUGUUCUGUUUCUGCAACGGGGAGGUAAUCGCACAAGUCAAGCGGAAAUGGCGGAACGUUUUCCUGAGGACGCGAACCAAUUCCUACACCGCGACGCAAGUGUCUGUGACUGAAAGAGUGACCGAUGUACAUUUGAGGUGCUUUUAGUGUCGUGGCAGAGCUUCCUAGCGGUAGUAUUGAUCGAAGAAUUUUCACACAUAUACAAGCCGGUCCGCUUGCAGUUCGUCCGUUGCGGUCCUCACGUUCCGGGGGAGGAGAAAGUCUGACUAAAGGAGUACGGCAGUGUCCGGCGGAAGAAUCAUUCGAUUCAGGCCGAUAACGGGAAACUUUCUCCUCCGGUUUCCUUGAGCCCACUGGACAAUUCUCCAAGCAAACCAUUCGCUACUUCGGAAGUUCGUUUUGCCAAUGAUUGUGUGGACUCUUCAAUGACAACCAAAAAUACAACGACAACGAUAGUUACCGUAGCUGAUAAACAGGAUGAUGGCCCGAUUGCCAAAAAUGGGGCAACCUCCCCUGUUGAUAUUCUGAUCCCGAUACCGAACUGUACUUCCAUGAAGGUUGCCGGCGAUGAGGGUCUCGGCACUUGGCGACGUGGCUCAAUCGAAUGUAGACACGUCAAGUUGCCCUCCCUGGAGACGUCUCAAAAUGGUGGCUGUGGUUCGAAAGAUGGCGCCCGCGUGGAUCUUCAGUUCAACGAAACUGUUCCGGCUGAUGAGAUAUUGUAAGGAUCGGGCUAGUAUCAAGCCAAGGAAAACAUGCCAAAAAAUUGCGAAGUAGUGGCACCUGGUUCUCUAUUAUCACUAUCUCCGAGGUUUAAAGAGAAACAUUUGGAAAUUUAUUGGAAUCAGUUGCUAUUAAAACACCUUUAGCUCUGAUAAACUGAAAAAUACGUCGAUUGUACCUGUAGCCACAUAUUUCUUACAAACUUUAGAACGCCCUAUGUUAGAUAUUUUUUUAGUCCUAGUAAAUUCUUCGUAUGCAACCAGGUCCACUACACACUAUUUAUCGAAUAACUGAUAGCAAAAAAAAAAAUUAAGUUUAAAUGUUAGCUGAAUAUUUACAGUAGGUACCCUCGAGAUAGCUUUUAAGUGAAACGACAAUGGCGUUGUUGUUGAUGGAGAAUAAAAAAACAAACAAACUACAAGUGUAAGCUUUUGAGUAGAAUUGAUACGCGGUCGGUUCAAAGAGUUACCUUAUACUUAAAAAACAUAAACACACUUCUGCUAGAAAUGGACAUCACACAUUUUCUUACCAAAACAAGGAACGAAUAAAAAUAAACACUCAUGUACACAAACACAAUGUUGAAAACGCUUCAAUUACUUUUGUAAGAUUUUUUCUGCCUGUUGAAAAAAAGGUUGAUGUGAUCCUGUUAUGGCAUUAAAUGGCAAAAUUUCUUGA